UAGGGAAUAUUGGUCAAUGGGUGAGAGCCUGAACCAGCCAUGCCGCGUGCAGGAAGACGGCCCUAUGGGUUGUAAACUGCUUUUACCAGGGGAUAAAACGGUCUUGCGAGACUAAUUGAAGGUACCUGGUGAAUAAGCCACGGCUAACUACGUGCCAGCAGCCGCGGUAAUACGUAGGUGGCAAGCGUUGUCCGGAUUUAUUGGGUUUAAAGGGUGCGUAGGCGGUUGUAUAAGUCAGUGCUGAAAUAUCCCGGCUUAACCGGGAGGGUGGCAUUGAUACUGUAUGACUUGAGUAAAGUUGAGGUUGGCGGAAUUGACGGUGUAGCGGUGAAAUGCUUAGAUAUCGUCAAGAACACCGAUAGCGAAGGCAGCUAACUAAGCUUUAACUGACGCUGAGGCACGAAAGUGUGGGGAUCAAA
rnacentral:rRNA from 1 species